UUGGAACGCAAGCAUCUAGUAAGGACUCCGGAUCGAUUUGUAAAUAUCUCGCCUCUCGAGAACCAUAAUCGUGCUCCGAUGAUUUUGUAUGUGUUGUGUUCACUGUGCGUUGGUAAUGGUCGGUAUGGUUGGUUGGUCGGUAAUCCUAAUAUCCUCGUUCAUCGUGUUGAGGAAUCUGGGGUGUACCAGAAGUGUUACUUUGAAAUUACUAUGGACCAUAACGGACAAACGUGCACAAACAUGACACCGCGUUUGCGAAUUAAUUGGGCCAAUACUGCUGAAUAUGUUGAGGAUGUAAAAAUGGGGCGAAAAUGACGUUGGUAAAAAUUUGCAUACUCAUGAUUCCGGACGUGACAAAACUAUUCAUCGCAAAAGGAAUGGAAUUGCACGCUAGAUCUCAGCGUCUCGGUGAUACGGUUUAUGUUCAAUGGAGAGCCAAUGCAUGUUUGAUUUUAAUCUAACUUGAAUGUUUUUUUUCCGGUGAUGAGCUGCUCGUCGAAGCUAAGUUGUCAAUUUUAUUUUGGUUUCCGCGUUUCUGUCUGCGAUAUUGAACCCUAAGAUGGAAGAAUUCGGCGAUCUGCUGGUCGAGAGCACUCACAACUUGUGAGACAAAGAGCGAAUUCAACAAAGUUAAACAAAGACAACGAAAACCAUCGUAGCUCCCAUUCAGUUCCGUACAGCAUAUACGGCUAUGGCGACUAUCAGAAAGCUGUUGAUCUAUGGAUACAAUUCGGACCAACAAACUGGUGAGACGAAUGAGCCCCUUGCGGCGGAAGCAUUCAGACAGAACUUCGCAACCAUCAGAAUGCACCUAGCGGAGAAGACGUAUGCUGUUAUGUCAAGACAGACAUACUUUUAGUUUGAGGUACGGACUGUGGGACUGAUGAGGGACUGCAAUUCCGAAACGAUGUUGGGGAAUGAUGAUCCAUCGUGUGCUUUUGAUGGCUACAAUAUAAGCAUGAGCACAAAUAUCGAAUCCGAUUGUUCAAUACGACCAAUCACGACCCCUCAAUCCAAUGUAGUCGUUCUGUUACAAGAAAACAAGCCCCAAAUUCCUACUGAAGACACAUUUCCACUGCCUCACCAAGAGCAAAUCACAUAGAUGGUUGCCGAAAAAUUUCAAAUGUAAGUUUAUAUGAACCCCCUUCUUCGAACUCUGGGGCAUUCCAGAGCGUCACAAUUAAAUGGGCAAGUAAACUACACCUGCGCAGGGUCGAAGAUUUCGGUAGGCGAUACCUGGUCGGAGACGUAAUCGUUUUCUUCUUAAAUAUCCACGACAAGAUCAGCACGAGAGGAAUAAAUACGAACUAAGAGUACUGGGUACUGGUGUCAUCAACUUCCUGCUAAUCAGCGCCCCAUUCUCUAGAGACAGCGAUGCAGUAGAAGGAGUUAUUGCGACGAGAAUUAUUGUUGUUUUCAUAUUUUACAUUUUUUUUUAUUGUAGAACUAUUGAAAUUGUAUAUAGAAUAAGUUAUUAGUGAAAUAUUAUAUUAAAAUAACAUGUUAUC